UACGUAGGUGGCGAGCGUUGUCCGGAUUUACUGGGCGUAAAGGGCGUGCAGGCGGUUUGUUAAGUGCAGGGUGAAAGCUCCCGGCUCAACUGGGAGAGGUCCUUGCAUACUGGCGAACUCGAGGGAGGCAGAGGAAAGUGGAAUUCCCGGUGUAGUGGUGAUAUGCGUAGAUAUCGGGAGGAACACCUGUGGCGAAGGCGGCUUUCUGGGCCUUACCUGACGCUGAGGCGCGAAAGCCAGGGGAGCGAACGGG
rnacentral:rRNA from 1 species